AACGAGGAAUCUUGACAAGAGUUGUUCUUCUUAAUUUCUUUAUUCAUGUUCUUCUUAUACAAGUUCUGACUUCGUCUCCUGAUGUUCCGUGCUGAUCUCCUUCACUCAGACUUUCCUGUCACUCUUAUCUCAAACACUUGUACUUCCUCGAAGACACCCUUCCAAACCUUACUCUCAGAAAGCUUUCAUUCUUUUCAUGUUAAACUCACACGGGACUCAUUCCUAUCUUACUAAUUAACUAUAAUGUCACACACAUCCUUACACACAUCAUAAUAACCAGCUUUCUGUACUCUAUUACCUUAAACUUCUAAAAUAAUAAUAACCUUUACCAUAUUAAAGUUAUCAAACUUUAAGUAUCAAAAACAUGUCAUAUGUAUGUUAUAAAAGCCACUUAAAUGAUUGCUAUUCAUUUAUCUUCUAUCAUAUUUUAAAUCUAAUUGUAUCAUAUAAACUACACUAAAAUAUCCUAACUAAGGAUACAUCAUACAUCAUUCUAAACUUACUAUAACUAAUUUAAUGAAGCAUUUAAUAUUGUAUAAAAACACAUCUGUUCUCUGUCUGGUCACUUUCCCUCUCACAGACACUGACCUCACACUGACCACUGCACAUCUCCUUAUCUCUGACCUCGCAUGCAUCACUUGCUCUCUACAUCACUUGCUCUCUAUCCCUGCCCUAUUGGCUAACUAAUUAAUGAAAUGUUCAAAUACUCUACUACAUUUCCCCGCUGGGCACAAAAAUUUGGUCUCCAAAUUAAUUCAGUAUUCAAUCCAAUAACCAUGAAGGAAGGUUAAGUCCAUUAGGAUCACAUAGUUUAUAAUUAUAGUCUAAUGUUUAGCAUUUAAAGACUAACACAUUACUAGAUAAUCCUUCAGUUCACAGUCAUGAUAAGAUUUUGCUUUGUUUUUGUUAUCUGCUUAAAUCCAUUUCAAAGAAUGUUUAAGUCACAAAGCAAGUUUCACUUGAAAUUAAUCAAUUAGAAUGUCACUGUUAAACGUUCCACUACAUAAUCCAGGGAUAUGUUCAUGUUUAUUUCCAAAGUUCCCGAGAUAAUCCAUUGUGAUGUCCAGUAACAGUAAUACAGUAGCACAUUGUAAGAGAAAGAUACCAGCUUUGAUUGCAUAACUGAAUUAUGAAUAGACAAAACUGAAAAAAAUGUUGAUGAAGUAUGAAUGUUGAUUGUUCACAGUUAAUUAUGUCGUAGAAAUAAGGUACCAGAUCUUCAAUUCUCCACCAAAUGUUAUAACGAGGAAUCUUGACAAGAGUUGUUCUUCUUAAUUUCUUUAUUCAUGUUCUUCUUAUACAAGUUCUGACUUCGUCUCCUGAUGUUCCGUGCUGAUCUCCCUCACUCAGACUUUCCUGUCACUCUUAUCUAAACCACUUGUACUUCCUCGAAGACACCCUUCCAAAUCUUACUCUCAGAAAGCUUUCAUCCUUUUCAUGUUAAACUCACACGGGACUCAUUCCUAUCUUACUAAUUAACUAUAAUGUCACACAUAUCCUUACACACAUCAUAAUAACCAGCUUUCUGUACUCUAU